UACGUAGGGUGCGAGCGUUAAUCGGAAUUACUGGGCGUAAAGGGCGCGUAGGCGGUCAGCACAAGUCAGUUGUGAAAUCUCCGGGCUUAACUCGGAAAGGUCAACUGAUACUGUGCGACUAGAGUGCAGAAGGGGCAACUGGAAUUCUCGGUGUAGCGGUGAAAUGCGUAGAUAUCGAGAGGAACACCUGCGGCGAAGGCGGGUUGCUGGGCUGACACUGACGCUGAGGCGCGAAAGCCAGGGGAGCGAACGGG
rnacentral:rRNA from 1 species